rnacentral:rRNA from 1 species
UACGAAGGGGGCUAGCGUUGCUCGGAAUCAUUGGGCGUAAAGCGCGCGUAGGCGGUUACACAAGUUGGAUGUGAAAGCCCUCGGCUUAACUGAGGAAGUGCAUCCAAAACUGUGCAGCUAGAGUACUAAAGAGGGUCGCGGAAUUCCCGGUGUAGAGGUGAAAUGCGCAGAUAUCAGGAGGAACACCGGUGGCGAAGGCGGGUCUCUGGGCCGAAACUGACGCUGAGGAGCGAAAGCGUGGGGAGCGAACAGG